AUUGAACGCUGGCGGCAUGCCUUACACAUGCAAGUCGAACGGCAGCACGGGUGCUUGCCCCUGGUGGCGAGUGGCGAACGGGUGAGUAAUACAUCGGAACAUGUCCUGUAGUGGGGGAUAGCCCGGCGAAAGCCGGAUUAAUACCGCAUACGAUCUACGUAUGAAAGCGGGGGCCCUUCGGGCCUCGCGCUUUAGGGUUGGUCGAUGGCUGAUUAGCUAGUUGGUGGGGUAAAGGCCUACCAAGGCGACGAUCAGUAGCUGGUCUGAGAGGACGACCAGCCACACUGGGACUGAGACACGGCCCAGACUCCUACGGGAGGCAGCAGUGGGGAAUUUUGGACAAUGGGCGAAAGCCUGAUCCAGCAAUGCCGCGUGUGUGAAGAAGGCCUUCGGGUUGUAAAGCACUUUUGUCCGGAAAGAAAUCCUUGGCCCUAAUACGGUCGGGGGAUGACGGUACCGGAAGAAUAAGCACCGGCUAACUACGUG
rnacentral:rRNA from 1 species